rnacentral:lncRNA from 1 species
CCUUCUGUAGGGGUAUCUACCAUCUCAACAUCUCUCCCUUAUGUAGGGGUGAACCUUUUACAGGUGCGUCGCGCAUUUUGGUGUUUAUCAGAACCAUAUUCAUGCUUUGGGGCUCAGACUUUUGUAAGGAGUCGAGGUAGCAUUUUCUUGAACUCAUCCAAUCACCCCGAACAGUGGUGAUACCUUGAUCAGUGAGAAACUUCAUGCAUAAGUUGUGGAUAAAUGUGACAGCACAGAGUUCUUUCAAUGCAGGUCGCCCCAACACUAUGAUAAGCAAACCCGUGAUCCACAAUGAGAAAAUCCAUGAAAUGAUUAGCCGCAAAGGGAGGUACUCCCAUUUUCACGGCUAAUGUAAUCCUCCCCCUAGGAAUGACGCUAUCGCCAGUAAAUGAGUUCAUGACUUUGUCAAAAUCUUAUCAUCAACUGAUUCCAAAUAGAUUGUUAAUGGAUCUUUUAUUAUCCACCAACAUUCGAUUCAAACCAUUCCUUGCCACAAUCGCUCGUACCACUAAGGUAUCCAUAAUGAACUCCAACAGCUUACCAACAAUGUCUUCCUAUGUAAAGCUUUUUGGUAGAGUGGUGUCGAUCCCCAUGAGGGUGUUAUUGACUAGAUAACUUGUCAAAGAAGGAUCCUUGGCUUCCCUGGCAUAAUUUCUUUGAGCGUUUAUUGACUUCCCUUCAACAUGUGGGCCCUAAUUAUUGUAUCAAGCUUCAUAAUAGGGUCGCUUUCUGCGUCCGCGUAGGGUUCUCUUCUUUGUCUUUGGGCACAUCUAAGCAUACCCUUAUUUUCGUCACUCCUUUGUCUAGGCGAUUGGUCCCU